GGGCUGGUAGCUCAGUUCGGCAGAGUGUUCCGUUCGCAACGGAAAAGCCCCGGGUUCAAAGGAGGUCUUUCAA
rnacentral:tRNA from 1 species